rnacentral:misc_RNA from 1 species
GGCUCAAUGGGCAAAGACAGUAUUAAGUUCUUUAUAUUAUAAAGAAAAAACCUGAAGCCUAAAACUCUAACCAAGUCCCUCACUGACAAAACAAGCCCAAAACACAUAGGCCCAACCCCUAGCAAAAAACCCUAACAGAAAUAACUAAGAAAACCUAGUGAUUUCUUUUACCUUCAGUGCAAUGUCGUUAACAAUGACUGAGCAAAGAGAAGCUCGCCAGAAGCCAUUUGUAGAGAUCCUUUCGCCUAAGAUAAGCAAGAACAAACCACAAGGUUUAGACAAAGAAGAACCAUCCCACCAUCCCCCUAAACGAACCAACUCUUUUAGUUAGAAGACCAAGGGCUUAAGCGCCGAUGCUAUAGGAGAGAGGAAAAGUAGGGGCCUCAAAGUUCUCCAUCUCAUGUAGCCAUGGGAAGCCGACAACCACUCAUUAAUGCUGGUGCUACAAUUUCCAAGCAACCUUGCUAAGGAACUCUUCCAUAUGCAUCGGCAAUCCACUCAGCAGAGGACUACUGCAACAUCCAAGGGACAUUAAACUACAUACCAUAUAGAGAAAGCGAGCUUUCUUAGCAUAUCUUCAACAAAAAACACACGUGACGAAUCAAGAGUUGCAUAAUCACAAACAAAACACAAAAUUAUAUAGUCCUAGCCAAGAAAGGCAAUGAACUUAACUCAACCAGAGAAGGAGACGCCGUUCUCCAACUCGAGGGGCAAGGGAAGCCACUAAAGAAAGCUCUCGGUAGGAUUUUCUCUCUUCACAAUUCUAGAGAUGGGCGAUUUGUUUUUUUAUUCAUUUUAUUAAUAUGAAAUCAUUGUCUUACUUCAAGACUUUGUUUUAUUGGGUGUAAGUGAAUUAAAAAAUUUUAAAUUUUC